GGCCGCUUGUGGCUCAUUUAACCGCUGCCAGUGCGCAUCAUAUGGCCGCCGCUUUAACCCAACUUCUCAACUCCGACAGGGAAAGUGGCUCAAAUGCGCAUUCUGCCCACAGUGGAUGUGAACCAACCCAGGCGAAGAGCGCGUGAAGUACUGGUUGGAGAACAUUUUAUAUCCCUUUUGGAUUAAUUUUGAUCUUGAAUCAUUUGGAGUUAGAAUAUUAAAUUGUGUUAUCCAGUCAUCCUGUGCGCACUCGAUCCUGUGCGCUGCUAUCUUGAAAUAGACUUUUUUCUCUGUUGGUGGCGAACUUUAAAACCAGGUGAAUGUAUAGCAUGAUGAUGGAAACUGACCUCCAUUCCCCCGGUCCCCAAACGAACACAAACACGGGGCAAACGGGGCCGAACAGUGGGUCCAAAGCGAACCAGGAGCGGGUGAAGAGACCGAUGAACGCGUUCAUGGUUUGGUCCCGGGGCCAGCGGAGGAAGAUGGCACAGGAGAACCCAAAAAUGCACAACUCUGAGAUCAGCAAGCGGCUGGGCGCAGAGUGGAAAGUGAUGUCCGAGGCUGAGAAGAGACCUUUCAUCGACGAGGCGAAACGGUUGCGAGCCAUGCACAUGAAGGAGCAUCCGGAUUACAAGUACCGGCCAAGACGGAAGACCAAGACGCUGCUGAAAAAGGACAAAUAUUCCCUCGCUGGUGGACUUCUUUCUGGGCCAGGCGGUGGAGUUGGAAUGGGAGUUGGAAUGGGAGUCGGGAUGGGUUCAUCCGGGGUCGGGCAGAGGUUAGAGAGCCCCGGGGGUCACGGAGGUUCCGCCGGCUCCGGCUACGCGCACAUGAACGGCUGGGCGAACGGUGCGUACUCGGGGCAGGUGGCAGCAGCCGCGGCGGCCGCAGCGAUGAUGCAGGAGGCGCAGCUCGCCUACAGCCAGCACCCUGGCAGCGGGGUGCACCACCACCACUCACACCACCACCACUCACACAACCCGCAGCCCAUGCACCGCUACGACAUGACGGCCCUGCAGUACAGCCCCAUCUCGAACUCUCAGAGCUACAUGAACGCUUCUCCAUCCGGCUACGGCGGGAUCAGCUACUCACAGCACCAGGGCUCCGGCGUCUCCUCCUCGGCUGCCAUGGGGACGUUAGGGUCGCUUGUGAAGUCGGAGCCGAGUAUUUCUCCGUUGUUGGAAUAGCAUCUGCACUGGGACAUUUUGACAAGAGGUCGCUGUUUGACUGAAAGUCUCUUGCCCUCACUGACUCUCACUAACUCCACCAUCCACUCAAUAGAGAGCGCUGAACAACACACCUGCAGUGUCUCUCUAUCACUGGCCUGCACACAUGCGUACCCACCAGAUGCUGUAAAGGAUUUCUGCUCCUCGCUGGCAGCAACUGUCCAUCAUGGCUAUCACCAGUGGACAUGGAUCACUGUGGGCCUGUGAUUAACAGAUAGCGACUCGUCUCCUCUGCUGGCAGCCCAUCAUUACGUGGAGCACUAGAAGAUAGGUGCUGUGGGAGAAAAGACCUUUAGGAAAAUGUCAGCGACAGUCAGAGCCCCAAAUUUCCUCCAUUCACUCUUUCCCAUGUGAUGCUACCUACUAUAAACCCCUUAAUUACACACAUCCCUUUCUCCUAUCGCCCCGUGUUUUAUAGCUAAGUGAAGUGUUGGAUUUCAGAGCAUGUGGUGAGUUUAUUUUAUCUUAUUUAAAAGACGAGCUGUAAAAAAGAAAAAAAUAGAUAGUCAGAAACACCAGCUCAUUUUUGCAACCAAAAAAAAAAGAAAACCCAGCUCCCCUUUCCCUUUCACUGGAGCCAGCUUCAGUGUCUUAAUACUCUUAGUCCCUCAGUUGGCAAGAAGCCGCUGCAUUUUCAGAUUUGUAAAAUCCGUCAAAAUGCCUGUAAUGAAUAUUUCUACAGCCUUGAGUGUAUUUAAUGUGUGACCGGCCCGAAUAACAAACAUACUGAUCUGGAACAAGGGGAACAGAGAAGCUCCGUCAGUGGGAAGCAGGUCAUUCUCAUUUAAGAAGCAGAAUAUAAUCAUUUAUUAUUCUCAUUUCAUCCUAGGUGUCGAUUAACAUAUUUCUAGUGCAUGAAGCUUUAUGUUAUGUAUAUUUAUGUUUUAAAUUUGAAAAAAAUAAUAUUAUUACAUUUUUCUUCCUGGAUUAUCAUAUUGUGAGACAGGUCUUUGUUAUGCGCUAACAUUGUACACUUUGUUGUCUAGGCUUUUGCUGAAAAAAACAUAUUGAAUAAAACUUGCAUCUUAUUGCUGCCUAAUAAUAAAA